AGAGUUUGAUCCUGGCUCAGAACGAACGCUGGCGGCGUGGAUAAGACAUGCAAGUCGAACGAUUAAACUCCUUCGGGAGACAUAAAGUGGCGAACGGGUGCGUAACACGUGAGCAACCUGCCCAAAAGUGGGGGAUAGCUCGCCGAAAGGCGAAUUAAUACCGCAUACGGCCAGGGAAGGCAUCUUCCCAAGACUAAAGCAGCAAUGCGCUUUUGGAUGGGCUGGCGGCCUAUCAGCUAGUUGGUGAGGUAACGGCUCACCAAGGCUAGGACGGGUAGCUGGUCUGAGCGGACGACCAGCCACCAUGGGAGUGAGAUACGGCCCAGACACCUACGGGUGGCAGCAGUCGAGAAUUUUUCGCAAUGGGGGCAACCCUGACGGAGCGACGCCGCGUGGAGGAUGAAGGUCAUUAGAUUGUAAACUCCUGUCAUGCGAGAACAAGAAAGUGAUAGUAUCGCAAGAGGAAGGGACGGCUAACUCUGUGCCAGCCGCCGCGGUAAUAC
rnacentral:rRNA from 1 species